CCUACGGGCGGCUGCAGUGGGGAAUAUUGGACAAUGGGGGGAACCCUGAUCCAGCCAUGCCGCGUGUGUGAAGAAGGCCCUCGGGUUGUAAAGCACUUUCAGUGAGGAAGAACGCCUGGUGGUUAAUACCCAUCAGGAAAGACAUCACUCACAGAAGAAGCACCGGCUAACUCCGUGCCAGCAGCCGCGGUAAUACGGAGGGUGCGAGCGUUAAUCGGAAUUACUGGGCGUAAAGCGCGCGUAGGUGGCUUGAUAAGCCGGUUGUGAAAGCCCCGGGCUCAACCUGGGAACGGCAUCCGGAACUGUCAAGCUAGAGUGCAGGAGAGGAAGGUAAAAUUCCCGGUGUAGCGGUGAAAUGCGUAGAGAUCGGGAGGAAUACUAGUGGCGAAGGCGGCCUUCUGGACUGACACUGACACUGAGGUGCGAACGCGUGGGUAGCAAACAGGAUUAGAUACCCCAGUAGUC
rnacentral:rRNA from 1 species